rnacentral:rRNA from 1 species
CUACGGGCGGCUGCAGUAGGGAAUAUUGGUUAAUGGGCGAAAGCCUGAACCAGCAACGCCGCGUGCGCGAUGAAGGCCUUCGGGCUGUAAAGCGCUUUUUGAGGGGAUGAGAAAGGACAGUACCCUCAGAAUAAGUCUCGGCUAACUACGUGCCAGCAGCCGCGGUAAAACGUAGGAGGCGAGCGUUAUCCGGAUUUACUGGGCGUAAAGCGCGUGCAGGCGGUUCGGUAAGUUGGACGUGAAAGCUCCUGGCUAAACUGGGAGAGGUCGUUCAAUACUGCCGGGCUAGAGGAUGGGAGAGGGAGGUGGAAUUCCGGGUGUAGUGGUGAAAUGCGUAGAUAUCCGGAGGAACACCAGUGGCGAAGGCGGCCUCCUGGCCCAUAUCUGACGCUCAGACGCGAAAGCUAGGGUAGCAAACGGGAUUAGAUACCCCGGUAGUC